UUGGAGGGCAAGUCUGGUGCCAGCAGCCGCGGUAAUUCCAGCUCCAAUAGCGUAUAUUAAAGUUGUUGCAGUUAAAAAGCUCGUAGUUGAAUUUCGGGAUCAAUAUGUUGGUCGUGCCUUGGUACGUACUAGUUUAUUGGUUUCUUCCUUCUGACGAACCAUGAUGUCAUUAAUUUGGUGUCUUGGGGAAUCAGGACUGUUACUUUGAAAAAAUUAGAGUGUUUAAAGCAGGCUCACGCUUGAAUACAUUAGCAUGGAAUAAUGAAAUAGGACGUUUGAUUCUAUUUUGUUGGUUUCUAGGAUCGACGUAAUGAUUAAUAGGGAUAGUUGGGGGCAUUAGUAUUCAAUUGUCAGAGGUGAAAUUCUUGGAUUUAUUGAAGACUAACUACUGCGAAAACAUUUGCCAAGGAUGUUUUCAUUAAUCAAGAACGAAAGUUAGGGGAUCGAAGACGAUCAGAUACCGUCGUAGUCUUAACCAUAAACUAUGCCGACUAGGGAUCGGAUGAUGUUAAUUUUUUAAUGACUCAUUCGGCGCCUUACGGGAAAC
rnacentral:rRNA from 1 species